rnacentral:rRNA from 1 species
AUGGCGGAACGGGCCAAUCUGGUCUUUCAUAAUAAAGAGAUAGACGGAACUGGUAUGAAACGACUUAUUAGCAGAUUAAUAGAUCAUUUUGGAAUGGGAUAUACAUCCCAUAUACUGGAUCAACUAAAGACUCUGGGCUUCCAUCAAGCCACUACUACAUCGAUUUCGUUAGGAAUCGAGGAUCUUUUAACAAUACCCUCUAAGGGAUGGUUAGUCCAAGACGCGGAACAACAGAGUUUUCUUUUGGAGAAACACUAUUAUUAUGGGGCUGUACACACGGUAGAAAAAUUACGCCAAUCUGUUGAGAUAUGGUAUGCGACAAGUGAAUAUUUGAAACAAGAAAUGAAUUCAAAUUUUCAGAUAACGGAUCCUUCUAAUCCAGUCUAUCUAAUGUCUUUUUCAGGAGCCAGAGGAAAUGCAUCUCAAGUACACCAAUUAGUAGGUAUGAGAGGAUUAAUGUCGGACCCUCAAGGACAAAUGAUUGAUUUACCUAUUCAAAGCAAUUUACGCGAGGGACUUUCUUUGACAGAAUAUAUAAUUUCCUGCUAUGGAGCCCGCAAAGGGGUUGUAGAUACUGCUGUGCGAACAGCAGAUGCUGGAUAUCUUACACGUAGACUUGUUGAAGUAGUUCAACAUAGUAUUGUGCGUAGAAGAGAUUGUGGUACUAUCCGAGGUAUUUCUGUAAGUCCUCAAAAUGAACCAACGGACAGUGCUUGA